rnacentral:rRNA from 1 species
UUUUUUAGAGUUUUCAUNCUGGCUCAGGAAGAUCGCUGNCGGCGUGCUUAAUACAUGCAAGUCGANUGCUUCUUUCCUCCCGAGUGCUUGCACUCAAUUGGAAAGAGGAGUGNCGGACGGGUGAGUAACACGUGGGUAACCUACCCAUCAGAGGGGGAUAACNCUUGGAAACAGGUGCUAAUACCGCAUAACAGUUUAUGCCGCAUGGCAUAAGAGUGAAAGGCGCUUUCGGGUGUCGCUGAUGGAUGGACCCGCGGUGCAUUAGCUAGUUGGUGAGGUAACGGCUCACCAAGGCCACGAUGCAUAGCCGACCUGAGAGGGUGAUCGGCCACNCUGGGACUGAGACACGGCCCAGACUCCUACGGGAGGCAGCAGUAGGGAAUCUUCGGCAAUGGACGAAAGUCUGACCGAGCAACGCCGCGUGAGUGAAGAAGGUUUUCGGAUCGUAAAACUCUGUUGUUAGAGAAGAACAAGGACGUUAGUAACUGAACGUCCCCUGACGGUAUCUAACCAGAAAGCCACGGCUAACUACGUGCCAGCAGCCGCGGUAAUACGUAGGUGGCAAGCGUUGUCCGGAUUUAUUGGGCGNAAAGCGAGCGCAGGCGGUUUCUUAAGUCUGAUGUGAAAGCCCANGGCUCAACCCGGGGAGGGUCAUUGGAAACUGGGAGACUGAGUGCAGAAGAGGAGANGUUCC